GGUUGAGUCCAUUUGCAAACAUCCAAGAAAAUCAGAACGAUAUAGAGAAGAUUAGCAUGACUCACAAAAAUAAUGACAUGUAUAAAUCAAGAAUGAUAACUCAUAUUU